UUUAUGGAGAGUUUGAUCCUGGCUCAGGAUGAACGCUGGCGGCGUGCCUAAUACAUGCAAGUCGAGCGAACGGACGAGAAGCUUGCUUCUCUGAUGUUAGCGGCGGACGGGUGAGUAACACGUGGAUAACCUACCUAUAAGACUGGGAUAACUUCGGGAAACCGGAGCUAAUACCGGAUAAUAUUUUGAACCGCAUGGUUCAAAAGUGAAAGACGGUCUUGCUGUCACUUAUAGAUGGAUCCGCGCUGCAUUAGCUAGUUGGUAAGGUAACGGCUUACCAAGGCAACGAUGCAUAGCCGACCUGAGAGGGUGAUCGGCCACACUGGAACUGAGACACGGUCCAGACUCCUACGGGAGGCAGCAGUAGGGAAUCUUCCGCAAUGGGCGAAAGCCUGACGGAGCAACGCCGCGUGAGUGAUGAAGGUCUUCGGAUCGUAAAACUCUGUUAUUAGGGAAGAACAUAUGUGUAAGUAACUGUGCACAUCUUGACGGUACCUAAUCAGAAAGCCACGGCUAACUACGUGCCAGCAGCCGCGGUAAUACGUAGGUGGCAAGCGUUAUCCGGAAUUAUUGGGCGUAAAGCGCGCGUAGGCGGUUUUUUAAGUCUGAUGUGAAAGCCCACGGCUCAACCGUGGAGGGUCAUUGGAAACUGGAAAACUUGAGUGCAGAAGAGGAAAGUGGAAUUCCAUGUGUAGCGGUGAAAUGCGCAGAGAUAUGGAGGAACACCAGUGGCGAAGGCGACUUUCUGGUCUGUAACUGACGCUGAUGUGCGAAAGCGUGGGGAUCAAACAGGAUUAGAUACCCUGGUAGUCCACGCCGUAAACGAUGAGUGCUAAGUGUUAGGGGGUUUCCGCCCCUUAGUGCUGCAGCUAACGCAUUAAGCACUCCGCCUGGGGAGUACGACCGCAAGGUUGAAACUCAAAGGAAUUGACGGGGACCCGCACAAGCGGUGGAGCAUGUGGUUUAAUUCGAAGCAACGCGAAGAACCUUACCAAAUCUUGACAUCCUUUGACAACUCUAGAGAUAGAGCCUUCCCCUUCGGGGGACAAAGUGACAGGUGGUGCAUGGUUGUCGUCAGCUCGUGUCGUGAGAUGUUGGGUUAAGUCCCGCAACGAGCGCAACCCUUAAGCUUAGUUGCCAUCAUUAAGUUGGGCACUCUAAG
rnacentral:rRNA from 1 species